rnacentral:rRNA from 1 species
CAAUAGCGUAUAUUAAAGUUGUUGCGGUUAAAAAGCUCGUAGUUGGAGUUCUGUCAGGUGCCGCCUGUCCGCCCCAGUGGUGAGUACGUGGCGCGCAUUUGGCCCUUUCAAGGGGAGCGUAUCUGCACUUUAUUGUGUGGUGCGGGAUCCUUGACUUUUACUUUGAGGAAAUAGGAGUGUUCCAAGCAGGCUCUCGUCGUGCACAGCUCAGCAUGGAAUAAUAGCAUUGGACCUCGAUUCUAAGCUGUUGGUUGCCAGAAGCGAGGUGAUGAUGAAGAGGGAUAGUUGGGGGCAUUCGUAUUUAACUGUCGGAGGUGAAAUUCUUGGAUUUGUUAAAGACGGACUACUGCGAAAGCAUCUGCCAUGGAUGUUUUCACUGA